CACGUAGGAGACGAGCGUUAUCCGGAUUUACUGGGUGUAAAGCGCGUGCAGGCGGUAUGGUAAGUUGGAUGUGAAAGCUCCCGGCUUAACUGGGAGAGGUCGUACAAGACUGCCAAACUAGAGGACAGCAGAGGGGAGUGGAAUUCCGAGUGUAGCGGUAAAAUGCAUAGAUAUUCGGAAGAACACCAGUGGCGAAGGCGGCUCUCUGGGCUGUACCUGACGCUCAGACGCGAAAGCUAGGGUAGCAAACGGG
rnacentral:rRNA from 1 species